rnacentral:lncRNA from 1 species
AUUUAAAUAAUUAUUAAUUUUGAUAUUAUUGUACAGUUUAUUAUAUGUCGUAACUCUAACUUGUUAUAAAAAUUGUUUAAAUUAUAUUUUUAUGUGAAAUGAAAAAUAAAUAAUUUGAAUUUUAAAAUUUUACUAUGUUUUUAAACAUGGGGUUAUCUUUUAUUUUUAAUAUUGAUAUAUUCAUAAUUAUAUGUUAAAAUAAAUUAGGAAAUGACAUAGUUAUCCACAGUCAAUCUAAUAAAUCAAUGACCGAAAAAUAAUUAGAUUCAACAUCUAGACUGUGUUUAAAACAUUAAUUAAAUUUUAGUUCAUUCCCAUUAAUUUGUGUGGUGAAAAUAAUAUAUAUUAAAGUAUAGUA